rnacentral:rRNA from 1 species
GACGAACGCUGGCGGCGUGCCUAAUACAUGCAAGUGGGACGCAAGAGAACACACUGUGCUUGCACACCGUGUUUUCUUGAGUCGCGAACGGGUGAGUAACGCGUAGGUAACCUUCCUAUUAGCGGGGGAUAACUAUUGGAAACGAUAGCUAAUACCGCAUAAUAUUAAUUAUUGCAUGAUAAUUGAUUGAAAGAUGCAAGCGCAUCACUAGUAGAUGGACCUGCGUUGUAUUAGCUAGUUGGUAAGGUAAGAGCUUACCAAGGCGACGAUACAUAGCCGACCUGAGAGGGUGAUCGGCCACACUGGGACUGAGACACGGCCCAGACUCCUACGGGAGGCAGCAGUAGGGAAUCUUCGGCAAUGGACGAAAGUCUGACCGAGCAACGCCGCGUGAGUGAAGAAGGUUUUCGGAUCGUAAAGCUCUGUUGUAAGUCAAGAACGUGUGUGAGAGUGGAAAGUUCACACAGUGACGGAGCUACCAGAAAG